rnacentral:rRNA from 1 species
AGACGUCUACAUUAGAUACCCCCGUAGUCCCAGCCCUAAACGAUGCGCGUUAGGUGUAUCGGUGACCACGAGUCACCGAGGUGCCGAAGGGAAACCGUGAAACGUGCCGCCUGGGAAGUACGGUCGCAAGGCUGAAACUUAAAGGAAUUGGCGGGGAGCACCACAACGGGUGGAGCCUGCGGUUCAAUUGGACUCAACGCCGGGAAGCUCACCGGAUAAGACAGCGGAAUGAUUGCCGGGCUGAAGACCCUGCAUGACCAGCUG